UACGGAGGGUGCGAGCGUUGUCCGGAAUCACUGGGCGUAAAGCGCACGUAGGCGGCUUUGCAAGUUAGAGGUGAAAGCCCGGGGCUCAACUCCGGAAUUGCCUUUAAAACUGCAUCGCUAGAGUUGUGGAGAGGUAAGUGGAAUUCCGAGUGUAGAGGUGAAAUUCGUAGAUAUUCGGAAGAACACCAGUGGCGAAGGCGACUUACUGGACACAUACUGACGCUGAGGUGCGAAAGCGUGGGGAGCAAACAGG
rnacentral:rRNA from 1 species